rnacentral:rRNA from 1 species
AUUGAACGCUAGCGGGAUGCUUACACAUGCAAGUCGAACGAGUGGCGGACGGGUGAGUAAUAUAUCGGACCGUGCCCAGUAGCGGGGGAUAAAUACUCGAAUGAGUGCUAUACCUCAUACUACUCGAGCUGCAGAUAUCGGAGUAGCUAGUGGGUGGGGUACAGGCUCACCAAGGCAACAAUCCGUAGCUGGUAUGAGAGGACGACCAGCCACGCUGGGAGUGAGACACGGCCCAGACUGCUACGGGAGGCAGCAGUGGGGAAUUUUGGACAAUGGGGGAAACCCUGAGCCAGCCAUCCCGCGUGUAUGAUGAAGGCUUCGGGUUGUAAAGUAAUUUCAGUCGGGAGGCGUUACCGACAGAAGAAGCACCGGCUAACUCCGUGCCAGCAGCCGCGGUAAUUC